GAUGAACGCUAGCGGCAGGCCUAACACAUGCAAGUCGAGGGAGAAGCCUUUCGGGGCAGAAACCGGCGCACGGGUGCGUAACGCGUAUGCAACCUACCUUUCACAGGGGGAUAGCCCGAAGAAAUUUGGAUUAAUACCCCAUAAUAUUGUUGGAUGGCAUCAUCUGAUAAUUAAAACUGAGGUGGUGAAAGAUGGGCAUGCGUCCUAUUAGCUAGUUGGAGUGGUAACGGCACCCCAAGGCUACGAUAGGUAGGGGUCCUGAGAGGGAGAUCCCCCACACUGGUACUGAGACAGGGACCAGACUCCUACGGGAGGCAGCAGUGAGGAAUAUUGGUCAAUGGUCGGAAGACUGAACCAGCCAUGCCGCGUGCAGGAAGAAUGCCUUAUGGGUUGUAAACUGCUUUUAUAUGGGAAGAAUAAGGUGUACGUGUACAUNGANGACGNUNCCA
rnacentral:rRNA from 1 species